rnacentral:rRNA from 1 species
UACGGAGGGUGCAAGCGUUAUCCGGAUUCACUGGGUUUAAAGGGUGCGUAGGAGGGCAGGUAAGUCAGUGGUGAAAUCUCCGGGCUUAACUCGGAAACUGCCGUUGAUACUAUCUGUCUUGAAUAUCGUGGAGGCGAGUGGAAUAUGUCAUGUAGCGGUGAAAUGCUUAGAUAUGACAUAGAACACCAAUUGCGAAGGCAGCUCGCUACACGUAUAUUGACUCUGAGGCACGAAAGCGUGGGGAU